rnacentral:rRNA from 1 species
AUUGAACGCUGGCGGCAGGCCUAACACAUGCAAGUCGAACGGUAACAGGAAGAAGCUUGCUUCUUUGCUGACGAGUGGCGGACGGGUGAGUAAUGUCUGGGAAACUGCCUGAUGGAGGGGGAUAACUACUGGAAACGGUAGCUAAUACCGCAUAACGUCGCAAGCCCAAAGAGGGGGACCUUCUGGCCUCUUGCCAUCGGAUGUGCCCAGAUGGGAUUAGCUAGUAGGUGGGGUAACGGCUCACCUAGGCGACGAUCCCUAGCUGGUCUGAGAGGAUGACCAGCCACACUGGAACUGAGACACGGUCCAGACUCCUACGGGAGGCAGCAGUGGGGAAUAUUGCACAAUGGGCGCAAGCCUGAUGCAGCCAUGCCGCGUGUAUGAAGAAGGCCUUCGGGCUGUAAAGUACUUUCAGCGGGGAGGAAGGGAGUAAAGUUAAUACCUUUACUCAUUGACGUUACCCGCAGAAGAAGCACCGGCUAACUCCGUG